UGGGGAAUUUUGGACAAUGGGCGAAAGCCUGAUCCAGCAAUGCCGCGUGUGUGAAGAAGGCCUUCGGGUUGUAAAGCACUUUUGUCCGGAAAGAAAUCCUUGGCUCUAAUACAGUCGGGGGAUGACGGUCCGGAAGAAUAAGCACCGGCUAACUACGUGCCAGCAGCCGCGGUAAUACGUAGGGUGCAAGCGUUAAUCGGAAUUACUGGGCGUAAAGCGUGCGCAGGCGGUUUGCUAAGACCGAUGUGAAAUCCCCGGGCUCAACCUGGGAACUGCAUUGGUGACUGGCAGGCUAGAGUAUGGCAGAGGGGGGUAGAAUUCCACGUGUAGCAGUGAAAUGCGUAGAGAUGUGGAGGAAUACCGAUGGCGAAGGCAGCCCCCUGGGCCAAAUACUGACGCUCAUGCACGAAAAGCGUGGGGAGCAAAACAGGAUUAGAUACCCUGGUAGUCCACGCCCUAAAACGAUGUCAACUAGUUGUUGGGGAUUCAUUUCCUUAGUAACGUAGCUAACGCGUGAAGUUGACCGCCUGGGGAGUACGGUCGCAAGAUUAAAACUUAAAGGAAUUGACGGGGUCAUAGCUGUUUCCU
rnacentral:rRNA from 1 species